AGUGUCUGGUGGGUAGUUUGACUGGGGCGGUCUCCUCCUAAAGAGUAACGGAGGAGCACGAAGGUUAGCUAAUCCUGGUCGGACAUCAGGAGGUUAGUGCAAAGGCAUAAGCUAGCUUGACUGCGAGCGUGACGGCGCGAGCAGGUGCGAAAGCAGGUCUUAGUGAUCCGGUGGUUCUGAAUGGAAGGGCCAUCGCUCAACGGAUAAAAGGUACUCCGGGGAUAACAGGCUGAUACCGCCCAAGAGUUCAUAUCGACGGCGGUGUUUGGCACCUCGAUGUCGGCUCAUCACAUCCUGGGGCUGAAGUAGGUCCCAAGGGUAUGGCUGUUCGCCAUUUAAAGUGGUACGCGAGCUGGGUUUAGAACGUCGUGAGACAGUUCGGUCCCUAUCUGCCGUGGGCGCUGGAGAAUUGAGGGGGGCUGCUCCUAGUACGAGAGGACCGGAGUGGACGCAUCACUGGUGUUCGGGUUGUCAUGCCAAUGGCACUGCCCGGUAGCUAAAUGCGGAAGAGAUAAGUGCUGAAAGCAUCUAAGCACGAAACUUGCCCCGAGAUGAGUUCUCCCUGACCCUUUAAGGGUCCUGAAGGAACGUUGAAGACGACGACGUUGAUAGGCCGGGUGUGUAAGCGCAGCGAUGCGUUGAGCUAACCGGUACUAAUGAACCGUGAGGCUUAACCUUACAA
rnacentral:rRNA from 1 species